rnacentral:tRNA from 1 species
CGGAUAGAAGCAUAAUUGGUUUAUGUAUUCGCUUUGGGUGCGGAAGUUUAUUAGUUCGAAUCUAAUCUAUCCGA